rnacentral:rRNA from 1 species
CCCUUAGAUGUUCUGGGCCGCACGCGCGCUACACUGAUGCAUUCAACGAGUCUAAAACCUGCUCUGAUAGGGGUGGGUAAUCUUUUGAAUGUGCAUCGUGAUUGGGAUAGAUGAUUGCAAUUUUUCAUCUUCAACGAGGAAUGCCUAGUAAACGCAAGUCAUCAGCUUGCAUUGAUUACGUCCCUGCCCUUUGUACACACCCCCCGUCGCUCCUACCGAUUGAAUGAUCCGAUGAAUAUCAUGGAUUGAGGAUGCAAGUAGGUUCGCCUAUCUUCAUCUUCGAGAAGUGAAGUAAAUCUUAUCAUUUAGAGGAAGGAGAAGUCGUAACA